rnacentral:rRNA from 1 species
ACUAGAGUUGAAUAUCCUGAAAGUUCCAAAUCCUGUGUGAUCGUUGAAGUUAAGCAGAAUCAGUUCUGGUUAGUACUUGAAUGAAAACAACCAGAGAAUGCCAGGUGUUGCAGGUA